rnacentral:rRNA from 1 species
GAAAGAACUUGUCAGGAGAUGCUUUGGUGCCUUCGGGAACUGUGAGACAGGUGCUGCAUGGCUGUCGUCAGCUCGUGUUGUGAAAUGUUGGGUUAAGUCCCGCAACGAGCGCAACCCUUAUCCUUUGUUGCCAGCGGUUCGGCCGGGAACUCAAAGGAGACUGCCAGUGAUAAACUGGAGGAAGGUGGGGAUGACGUCAAGUCAUCAUGGCCCUUACGACCAGGGCUACACACGUGCUACAAUGGCAUAUACAAAGAGAAGCGACCUCGCGAGAGCAAGCGGACCUCAUAAAGUAUGUCGUAGUCCGGAUUGGAGUCUGCAACUCGACUCCAUGAAGUCGGAAUCGCUAGUAAUCGUAGAUCAGAAUGCUACGGUGAAUACGUUCCCGGGCCUUGUACACACCGAAAA